UACGGAGGGUGCAAGCGUUAUCCGGAUUCACUGGGCUUAAAGGGUGCGUAGGUGGGUUGGUAAGUCAGUGGUGAAAUCUCCAGGCUUAACUUGGAAACUGCCAUUGAUACUAUCAAUCUUGAAUGCCGUGGAGGUCAGCGGAAUAUGUCAUGUAGCGGUGAAAUGCUUAGAUAUGACAUAGAACACCAAUUGCGAAGGCAGCUGGCUACACGAAUAUUGACACUGAUGCACGAAAGCGUGGGGAGCAAACAGG
rnacentral:rRNA from 1 species